rnacentral:rRNA from 1 species
UACGUAGGGAGCAAGCGUUGUCCGGAAUCAUUGGGCGUAAAGCGCGCGUAGGUGGCCCUGUAAGUCCGUUGUGAAAGUCAAAGGCUCAACCUUUGAAAGCCGAUGGAUACUGCAGGGCUAGAGUACGGAAGAGGCGAGUGGAAUUCCUGGUGUAGCGGUGGAAUGCGCAGAUAUCAGGAGGAACACCAAUGGCGAAGGCAGCUCGCUGGGACGUGACUGACGCUGAGACGCGAAAGCGUGGGGAGCAAACAGG